AGGCAGCGCGCGGACACUGCGGAACGGAUUCUACCACCGGGGUCCAACCCGGCGUGGGCAAGUUGUGAAUCAGGCAUUUAGGAUUUCCCCGGUGACAAACCAAACUGCAGAGCUACAGCAUCUUCCAGGAAGCAUUUCUACGACGUCCCCUCCCUCCCGUUGCCGGGGGCUCUCGGGGAAGGAGUCUUGGCCCCCUGCUAAUGACGAGCUCGUGACCUGGCAGCGGGACACAUGGCACCAGGUGACAAGAAACCAAAAGGAAUUUUAUUGAAAAACAAAGGCUGGAGAGCAGUACAAAAAUAACUUAGCUCGGUUUGCAGCAGAGUCCGUUAUCCAAAAGGUACCUGACAUAAAAAUGUACAAAAAUAAUUUAGAAUUUUCCGUAUUUCUACUAAAAACAGUACACACAUCAGUAUUUUACAGCAUCCUCGGGCAUUUACAUUCCUCUAGAAUCAGCAAAUUGUGCUUCCCCCCGACUCUUUUUGAAAGGCCACUGGGGAGGGAGCUCAUUUUCCCCUCCCCAUCCGCAGCACAGGCCGCGGCGGGGAGGCAACGCUUCUCUGCAAAUUUCUCGCGUUCUCCAUCCCGCGGGCGAAGAAAAAGGAGCCGUCUCAAAACGGGACGCGUCGCGUUUAGUCAAAAAUAAAAGGUUAGAGAAACUUCACAUGAAUCAAUCCCCACAAAGGAGAAGCUAGAGACCAGGCAGCAGCUCAUCGGUUACCCGAAGCGGUGAGUCUCAUCGGGGACCUGCCCUUGCAAGACACGCGGUCUCGCAGCUCCCCUCGGCUGACCACCAGCUUUUAAGUCGCUCCAACAGGACACCAAUUAGGCAAAUUAAAAAUCAGAGCCUGAAACCUACGGCUUCCAUCUCCUCUUCCCUGGAGAACCCGGCGUUGGCCCAUGGGUCAGGCCGCGGCUGGGGAAGCAGCCGCUGCGGACGGCCUCUCGCCGACGCUAUUCCUUCUUGGCCGGCUGAGCAGAGAAGAUCCUGGCGAUCCUUUUGGUUUCCUCUUCCGAGAGAUCAACCGCCGGUCUGGGAUGAGCCGGCCUUCGGUAGGGGAUGCCCCGUGGUGCUGCUCCGCUUCUGCUCUGCGGAGAGGAGGAAGAAGACGUUAGAGCCCCGGCAGCUCUGCCCCGCGCCCGGUUUCUCAUCGCAGCAAAGCCCAGGGCCGUGCAGCGGGCGAGAAGUUGGAUACGCAGAAAACACCCCUCCUGAUGUGGGUUUUGUGGCUCAGCGGUUCUCCUCGGAGGGGUUUUUUCCCUCGUUCCGCACACUGCGAGGCAACUCUUUGGAAAAAGACCUCUUUGUUCCAACUUGGGGAAAAAAAAAUAAAAAAAUCCGUGAUGGGGCAAUAUUUCCCUAUCCAAAAAAUCCCCGAUAAUGAAAUAUUUCCCUGCCCAAGACAAUAUUAGACGCUGCAAAUGCGAUUCUUCCUCGGUGCUGCAGAAAGCAAAAGCCGAAGGCCGAAAUCAGAAGGUCCAAACCACACAGUUGGGCUCCGGCAAGUCAGCUCUGAACUCUGUCAACGUCUCCCCUCAGCCAAAGUCAUCUUCUGCGAAGCCAAAAGAAUUAUUCCAGCGUAUGCACCGGGCUCUGACUCUCUGAAUUUUGGGUUUCAAUUAUUAUUUGCUUUGGAAUUGGCAGAACCCUUAAAAAAACCAAACCACCUCGCACUGGAGAGGCGAAGCUCCUACACAACGAACCCAACCCUGCUGACAAAUUCGACUGGCCCGUCCCAAUUCCCCCCCGCAGGAACCUCCUACGCAGCAGCCCACGAGAUGAAAACCACCUUUUCCAGCAUUUUAACAUCCUCCUCGCUUUGCAUGCACCCCCCCCGCCCCCAGCCCCCAGCCCCCAGCAGCCAGGUUUUCUUCCAGACUUCCCAGUAGCACGAAAAAUGGAUAUUUAGUGCCUGGUAAGAUUAUGGAGCAGAUCCUCCUGGAGGCGCUGCUGAGGCAGAAGAAUAACGAAGAGGUGACUGGGUACAAUCGACGCGGCUUCCCCAAGGGCAAAUCAGGCACGACAAACCUGGUGGCCUUCUCUGAGAAGGUCACAACAUCAAUAGAAGGGGGAGAGCAACUGAUGCCAUUUACCUGGACCUGAGCAAAGCCUUUGACACUGUCCCGCGUGACAUCCUGGUCUCCAAGCUGAUAAAAUAUGGCUUUGAUGGACUGACAACUCAGUGGAUAAAGAACUGGCUUGAUGGCCGCACCCAAAGAGUGGCUGUCAAUGGGUCCAUGUCCAAGUGGAGGCCAGUGACAAGUGGAGUCCCUCAAGGACCAGUACUGGGACCGGUCUUGUUUAACAUCUCCGUCAGCGACAUGGACAGUGGCAUAGAGUGCACCCUCAGCAAGUUUGCCGAUGACACCAAGCUGUGUGGGGCGGCUGACACGCUGGAGGGACGGGAUGCCAUCCAGAGGGACCUUGAGAGGCUGGACAGGUGGGCCCAUGCCAACCUCAUGAAGUUCAACAAGACCAAGAGCAGGGUCCUCCACCUGGGUCGGGGCAAUCCCAAGCACCGAUAGAGGCUGGGCAGUGACUGGCGUGAGAGCAGCCCUGAAGAAAAGGACUUGGGGGUGUUGGUGGACAAGGGGCUCAACAUGAGCCGUCAGUGUGCACUAGCAGCCCAGAAAGCCAAUCGUGUCCUGGGCUGCAUCAGGAGAAGCGUGGCCAGCAGGUGGAGGGAGGUGAUUCUCCCCCUCUACUCCACUCUCAUGAGACCCCACCUGGAGUACUGCGUCCAAUUCUGGAGCCCCUACUACAAGAAAGAUAUGGCCGUGCUGGAACGUGUCCAGAGAAGGGCCACGAGGAUGAUCAGAGGACUGGAGCACCUCUCCUAUGAGGGCAGACUGAGGGAGUUGGGGUUGUUCAGUCUGGAGAAAAGAAGGCUCCAAGGAGACCUUGUAGUGGCCUUCCAGUAUCUUAAGGGGGCCUACAAGAAAGCUGGGGAGGGACUUUUUAGGAUGUCGGGGAAUGGUAGGACUAGAGGGAAUGGAUUAAAACUAGAGAUGGGUCGAUUCAGACUGGACGUUAGGAAGAGGUUCUUCACCAUGAGGGUGGUGAGACACUGGAACAGGUUGCCCAGAGAGGCGGUGGAAGCCCCUUCCCUGGAAGUUUUUAAGGCCAGGCUGGAUGGGGCUCUGAGCAACCUGAUCUAGUGGGAGAUGUCCCUGCCCAUGGCAGGGGGGUUGGAACUAGAUGAUCUUUAAGGUCCCUUCCAACCCUACCAAUUCUAUGAUUCUAUGAUAUUUUCAGCGUACAAAGAAACUGGUGUUUCUCCCUGGUUCAUUUAGAGCCAGAUCGUGCCCGUGAAGCACCGAGAGAGGAGAGACCCGGCUUCGGCUGCUUUUAGAGGCGGAGGUGAGCAGUGCUGUUUCAGGACACGGGGCCAGGAAGGUCUCCUGGAGAGCAGGGUUUGAUGUGGAAAGCUGAUCCGUCGGUCCAACCUUUCGCCUACAUCCCUGGGCUGCUUCCCCGUCCCGGCCGGGCUCGGCCUCACCAGGUGCAGCUGUGGUGGAAAGGUCUCCUAAGGUCAUCAGAGAAACGGCGCCGGGAUCGUGUUCCUGCGCGCUCCCCGCUUUGACGUGCAUCGUCUGGGGAGGGAAAUGGCUUUUUUAGGAAUAAGUGGGUUUGGAGAUUUCUUGUCUUUGGUUACCUGCGCUUUACAGGCUGAGACGACGAGCACACUGAGCCCCGCGAGGGCAUCGCUGGUGAAGACCCUGAUGGGAAAACAGCCUGUAGAUAAAAACCACCCCCUGAUCUACCCAUCCCGGGUGUACCGGUGUCUGCUAGAGCCAGGGCAAAGCACAAGAGGCUAACUGCAAGCUAAUUUAACAUCAGCUACAAUUUCUGCACAGAGACAAGACCGAGAGAGGCCCUAACCGCAGGCCAAGAUUUCCUAAAGGAUGAUUUUCAGACACGCGGAUGCAGCCGGCUCCUGCAGGGCCAGAUUCGGGAGACAGAUGGGUCAACGCUCGCAAAGACGGUGGUUUCGGUCGCCGUCUGGCUGGUUAAUAACAAGGAUGCCAACGGAUGAUUUUCCUAAAAAGAAAGAAGCUGAGAGAGGUUAAACGCAGACCUGGCAAGAUUAGAAGCUUAAAAACCGGCAGAAAGAGAUACUCGUUGGCCAAACCACCGCCUUUUGACAGCGUAUUCUGCUCCAGGGUGUCCAUAGACCGGCCGUGAGGAAGCCGUUUGUCCCCCGACGAGGGCCCUGUUCUACCCCGGAGGAGGCUCCACCGCUGACAUACCUAUAAAAGAUUCUCUGCACAACUACGCCCACGUGAACAGCUUGCGGGAACUAAUCGAAAUAAUAAAAGACGCAGAUUUACACUGUAGCAAUGACCCUAUCGAAUUCCUCAAAUUAUCCAAUGAACCCUACUUCCCACUUCUCCCAGUUCCCCUCUCACGCGUACUUGUGCUACACACGUCUUCCUGCACAGCAAGGAACGGAGACAGCGACUCCCGUUUGGAAUGUAAGGAAUACGCGCGGACGGUGUUCACUGACCAGUUUCACUUUCAUUAGAAACAGGACAUUUCUAAGGAAUUUCAGUGGGAGCAGCUGCAAGUCCCACAACUCAGAGGGGAAGGUAACAGGGCAUCUGGGAGAGGAUAAGGAAAAGGGAACAAAAUUGCCUCGAGAAUCCCAGAUCCAGCGGAGACAGCGGCACAGCUGAGUAUUUCUGCAGAAACUAAAGGACUUUUUUGGGGAUUGCACUAAGCCAGUGACCCAAACCAGCUGUGAAAUAAUCUUACCAUGGUUAUAACAAAUUUUAAAUUUGAUUCUAAAGGAGAAAUUAAAUGAGAUUGUUCUCCUUUGUUCUUCGAGUUCACAAUCCAGAGGUGCCACGGUACUUCUCCUGCCUCAGGUGAAGCUGAGUCACAAACUGAGUUCCUAAAAUUGUCCAGGUUGGAAGGGACCUUUCAGAUCAUCGAGUCCAACCAUCAACCCAACACUGACAAACCCACCACUACCCCAUGUCCCUCAGCACCACGUCUGCCCGGCUUUUAAAUCCCCCCAGGGGUGGUGAUUCCACCACCGCCCUGGAGUUGUUCCUGCUCUGCAAAAAACGCUGCCCCUUGCUCACGAUUUUGCCAUCCGUGCGAUAACACACUCCAAAAGAGCGCUCUAAAAGUGAAAACAGGACAGGAGAGCAGGUGUCUGCUGCUAUUAGAGGACACCGAGGCCGUGGGCGGCAGUUUGUAUGCUGUCAGUAAACAAGGUGUGCUUGGAAAACAUACCGCUCGCGUGCUCUUUUAGGUAGAGAUGGCUAAAAUACUCCUCCGCCGAUUUUCAUACCGCCCUCUCCGUUUGCAGCCCGGCAGAGGUGUUAAGACGCACGUAUCGAUCCCAAGGACCGUCCUAAAAAUGAACUUCCAGCCGCAGGAAAGUUUUAGCACGGGCGUGAAUUGAAAUGAGAGAAGUUUAAAAGCGCAAUUAGCACUCCCAGCUCGUGCAGAGGAUCAGAAGCCUCAUGAAAUUACAUUUGCAGGUUGAGCUUCACCGACAGUUUGGGGAUAUGGCUACAGGAAAGAGCUGCACUUCUAUACUUACACUUUAUGCUACCUGUAUAAAGCUGUUUUUCUUUGAAAUAAGCAAAUUCCUUGCACGUAUAACAUUUAGCAGGACAUUCUAGCCUCAAUUUUUAAUUGCUAGAGCAAUUUAAAUGCCUCUAGCAUUUUUAAGAUGCUCCUUCGACACGGCAAACGGGCAGUUUCCAACAGUCAAAGAGUUUUAACCUCCUGCAUAGUUUCCAGAGCACGCACCUGAAAUGUCGUGUUUACACCAUUCCUUGCCUCCGAAACAGGCUCUGCCAGCUCAAACGACGAGCUGAGCACAAGCAGCGCUUGUCCUGGCUUUCUCCCUUGCUGUCCCUAAGCCAACGCAGUCACAGACUCCAAGGAUCUUGACGCUCAGCCGUCAGGCGCACACGUUUGAUCCGAAAGAUGCAAGAGGAAAGAGGACAGGAGAUCACGCUUCACUUUUUGCUUUUUAUAGAAACGGCAGGGAUACGGCAGGACACUUAAACCAGCCAAGGAUUAUCUCAUUGCUGCGUGCCAGGGCCGGGAGAAAAGCAGACAGACUUAUUAGCAUUUUAUAGGUCUUGGCGGGUGACGGCUUAUUUCAAGGUCAAAGAAUUGUGAUAACGGAGGCGGAGAAUGUUUCAGCCCCGCGGGUGCCGCAAGUUUGAUGGCGUUUUGUUUGCGCACAGCGACGAAGGAGGGAAGACAGAUCUGGGUUAACGGGCUACAAACCUACCCCCGGAGUGACCUCACACCUACUUCUGCUUUCGGGAUAGGAACAGGUUUCUAUCAAAUCACGGACCGCCGGCCGCAACUCCGAGCGGACGUGGAGAAUACAGCCACCUUUUCCUCUUUUUCUGAUCGCGAAAACGAAAAGAGAAGGUCAGCGUUUCUG